UUUUUUUUUUUUUUUUUUUUUGUUUUUUUUUUGCUAUUAAUGUAUUGCCUACCAGUUAUUUUUCAUGUAAAUUGUAUUAAAGCCAGCAACAGGAGGUGAGUCAUUAGGAGUGAUUUUUAAAAAUAAGAAAAUUUUAUUGUCUAAUCAUAAAAAAAAAAAAACAGAGGACAAAGUACUGUCUGAAAAACUUUCUGUUCAUUUCUGAAAGAUGACUGCAUUUCAGCCUCUUCUUUCUCCCUAAAAAUCUCUGCAGCAGUUGCACAGUGUGAGCAGACAUAAGCUCAGAUACAUUUCUCCCCAUGCAAUAUGGGAACACCUGCUGCCUUUUCUCUUUGAUGUAGAGUUUGGCAGGGAGUAAGAAGACUGAAGCUCUAUAUGAGCCAGUGAUACAGUGCCCUUUGGGGCAUGAUCCUGUACUGACCUGAAGUCACAGGACUCAUUCUCUCAUUCUCUUUCUUCAGUGAGGAACACCACAGAAAAUGCAGAAGGCAUAGAAAUCUGCACUGCAGCAAAAUACCAGGCCAAAACCAAUAACAACCCCUUUUCCAUCAAAAUAAUAAAAAUUCAUACAGUGCUUUGGGGUCAAAAGCUAUUAUUGCUACAUUUUAAAUUCAGAUUCGUCAGCUUUUUCCGUGUGUAACCUCCUUCCUAAUUACCAUAAAAUCAGCUGGGCUGAUUUGGACUGUCUGACCUUAAACACUGCAAAGGGAACUUAACAGGCAAGUGCCAAGGAAUCCAGAGGUAACUCUGAUGCUUUCUAAUGCUGGUGGUGAAUUGCAACCAGAACGCUGAAGAAGAAUUCGGCGUGGAGGUGUCUGUAAUGCAGUGAGUAUCUAAGGACAGUGAGCACUGCUGAAGCAGAACAUGAAAACAUGAGAACUCUGGGCUUGAUUUAAGAUUAAUAAUAUAUACAUGUACAUACACACACAUCUGUGGAAAAUUGCCACUCCUUGAGAAUUUCACUCUCCCAAAAUAUAUCUGCUUAGGCUGAGCACUACAAGUGAGAUGUGUUAUGGGGCUACAAGGUGAUGUUCAUUCAUUCUGAUUUUCAAUAUAAAACAACUAGAUGCUCUCACUUGAGUAUCUUGAUAGGAAAUAACUCAGAUUAGUUUUGUUCUGUUGAAACUCCACUAGAAAUGCCACUAUAUUACUGAGACAGAACAAAAAUAAAAGACUAAGUAACCUCAUAAAGUUCUGGUGGAGCUGAAAACCACUGUUCUCAAGGGCAAAGUUGUCCUUGGAAAAAUGAACUCCUUUCCAAGACUUGCUCAUGUGAAAAGCAAGAACUAGAAAAAUGUCUUAUGGUAGGUUAUUUAAGAAAUAAUUUCCCUGGUCUACUACUCAGGGAUUUGAUUUUGUUCCUUGAGUACCUCAGUGUUUCACAAACAAGCCUUCAAAAUCAAUUUUAAAAUAGCACAAAAGGUAAAAAAAUAUUUUCCACUUCGCUUUUGUUAUUAUAUAAAAGGACCUCCAUCCUUUCCUUCUGCAGUUGAUAUGAAAAUAAUAAGAAACAUUUAGCUAUAUUUUCUUAUAUGACUACAGGCCAUAAAUGACAAAAGGAUGAAUACAAAAUUACCAUCCACACCAACUUCUACAGUCAACCUGUUACAAAAUGCAUUCAAUAAAACAACGCUUUGCAAUCAAAUGAGAUUUUAACUUAAGCUGAUAAGCAUUUUUGGCUUUGAAUGCUGGUAAGAUGGGCAAGAUUUUCUUAGAACUUAUUAUUUAACAUCAUUUAAAAUUGCUUUCUUUUUAUAAUAAAACCACCAUAAAAUCAUUUUACUCCAGAAUUAAUAGGUAUCACCAUUCACACUGUGUGAAUAGUAGAGGAACAGUGAGGAAGAAAAAAUCUGUACAGCACAUUUCACAGUAAUGCACUCUGUCAUAUGAGAGUGAUUGAUGGAUUUCAAGGUCAGAAAAGACCAUGGUGAGCACAUUCUACACUGAAAACAACAGAGAAUGUCAUCACCAUCAUCAGGUGGUCACUGCUAUUAGUCCACAACUUCUGUUUGAAUUAAAGUAUUUAUUGUAUGCCCCAGUUGAAUAAUUUUGAUAGCUUAUCAUCCCACUGAUUAAAAAACCCCUCAUCUUUUAGCAAUAAUUUAUUCAGUUUCAGGUUAAAUUUUCCACCAUUUCUUAUGACUUUAUUCUUGAAAAAUUAAAUUAAGUUUUUCCUUUACCAGAACUACAAAGCUGUCAAGGAAAUUUCCCAAAGUCUUCUUAGUCCAAGUCUCCUUGUUUCAAAACCAACUUUUUGUGUGAGUACAGAUUGUAUUACGCUGGACAUUGUAAGUAUGUUUUGGGUCAUAAAAUCACAGAAUAAUUGAAUAUUUUGGGUGGGAAGGGACCUUAAAUAUCACCCGCUUUCAAUCUCCCUGGUGUGGGCAGGGACUUUUAGGACUUUUCCCUCAAUCAGCUUGCUCAAAGCCCUAUCCAGCCUGGCCUUGAACACUUCCAGGGAUGGGACAUCCACAACCUCUUUGGACAGCCUGAUCCCUGUCUCAACAUCCUGAUAGUAAAGAAUUUUUUCCUAAUAUCUAAUAUCAGCCUACUCUUCUUCAUCUUAAGGCCAUUCCCCCUUCUGCUGUCACUACAUGACCUUGUAAAAAGUCCCUCUCCAGCUUCCUUACAGGCCCUGCUUCAGGUACUGGAAGGCCCCUAUAAAGUCACCCCAAAGCUGAACACUUCCAACUUUUUUAGGCUUUCCUCAUAGGAGAACCGUUCCAGCCCUCUGAUGAUCUUUCUGGUUCUCUGGACUCUCUCCAACAGUUCCAUGUCUUUAUUUUGGGGACCCAAAGCUGGAUGCAAUAUUCCAGGUGGGGUGUCACUAGAGAGGAGCUGAGGGACAGAAUCCCCUCCCUGCCCUGCUGCCCAUGGGCUUUGGAUGCAGCCCAGGACACGUUUGGGUCUCUGGGCUGGGAGUGCCAUGGCUGGGUCAUGCCCAGCCUCUCCCCCACCAGCACCCCCAAAUCCUUCUGGGCAGGGCUGCUCUCAGUCUGCUCAUCCCACAGCCUGUGUUGAUAACAGGGGUUGUCCUGACCCAGGUGCAGCACCUUGCCCUUGAUCUUAUUAAACCUCAGGAGAUUCCCAUGGGCCACUUCUUGAGCUUUUUUAAGUCCCUCUGGAUGGAUCCCAUCCCUCAGGCAGUCAAGCACACCACUCAGCUUGGUGCCAUCUGUACACAUUUACACUCUGUACAUGUGCUGAGGGUGCAUUCAGUCUCACUGUCUGUGGCAUUGGUGAAGACAUCAAAUAACACUGGCCCAGCAGAGACCCCUGAGGGCACCACUUGUCACUGAUCUCCAUCAGGAUCUCAACCAUCCACCACUGCUCUCUGGAUGCAACCAUCACCGGACAGUGCACACAUCACUGGAGAGAGAAAUCCUUCUCUCUCCAGUUUAGAGAGAAGGGUGUCAUGAGGGACAGUGUCAAAGGCUUUAUGGAAGUCAGAUGAAUGACAUCUGCAGCCCUUCCCUUGCCCACUGAUGGAGUCACCCCAUCAUUGAAGGCCACUAGAUUGGUCAGGUGGGACUUGCCCUUGGUACAGCCAUGCUGGUUAUGUCAAAUCACCUCCCUGUCCCCCAUGUGCCUUAGCACAUCUGCUAGGAGGAUCCGUUCCAUGAUCUUCCCAGGCACAGGCUGAGAGUCCCCAGGGUCCCCCUUUUUAUUCUUUUUUAACAUGGGUGCAACAUUUCCCUUUUUCCAGUCACCUGGGACUUCACCUGACUGCCAUGACUCUUCAAAUAUCACAGAGAGUGGCUUGGCAACUACAUCACCCAAAUCCCUCAGGACUCGGGGAUGCAUCUCAUCAGGUCCCAUCAACUUAUGUGUAUUCAGACUCCCUAGGUGGUCACAAACUUGGUCUUAACUUACAGUGGGAAACACUUUGCUUCCCCCACUCAUAAUCAGAAGUAUAAUUUCAAUAAAAAUACAAGUAAUAUUAGCAGCAAAUUGUUUACUUACUGCAGAUGAGGGAAAUAUCCAAAUACCAACAGAAAGAAAAACUGUUUUCAUUUUAAUUUACCUAAACCACCAACUGAGUCAACAACCCACAAACUGACUCAUUUACAUAUAGGUUUUCACCAGAUCUCUCAAUCAUUUUGCAUAAAAUGUUAAAUUCUGAAAAGAUAAGUUUUCUCAAAUGUCAAUAAAAUUAUUACCAUCUUCAAACAUGAAAUCCAUGGUAUUUUUAUAAAGAACUUCUUGUCAUUAUGUGGUUUUGGAUUGCUGUCAUAUCCAACUGUUUUCCAGUGCAUUGACAUGUGGAAUUGACAUGACUAAUAUGUAACUUCAUAAAGUUUUCUCUCUAUUGCUCUCCUUCUGUGUAAAUUUCUCUCAGUGUUGCCCAUUCAGUUCCAGUUCCAGCUUACACAACGGGGUGUAGGCUUUGAGCUUGAUCUGUAGGAAACCACUGUUCAAAGCAGAAUCCAACUCACCUGUGCCUGUGCUGCUGAAUUCAUCCAGUGCCUUUUUCUGGAUUAGCAACCCUUUACUAAAGAAGGGUAACUUUAAACCACAGAGUAUUAUCCUAGUGAAAUCCAGAUGAGAGGCAGUGAAAGGAUGUAAAAUCCAGCUUUGGUCAUCAUCUACCAGCAUGAAACAUGGUAUUAUAGCCAGCUGAACAUGGAAGACAGGAAUUCUUACAGAUAAUAAUGUGUGAGAACAUCAUGGAUAUAACAACAAUUCUUGAACUUCAAAUAGAUUAAAUUCUUUGUAUUUUUUAACCUCCAAAAAAAGGGAAUACCUGUGUAAAACCAAGUAUUCCUCCAGAAUGUUGUAGUUUCUCUGCAGUACUGCGUUUUACUUUUACAAACUGUAGCAUUCUGAGCAUCUUAUGUGGCAGAUUCUUAUUUGGAAAAUAAAAUCAAUACAUGCAGGGAUUGCUUCUGAAGCUGGCAAUGGUAUUGCACAUGUUUCUCUUACAUAAUGAAUAGGGACACUAAAUUUAACACAAUAGAAUCUCCUAACUAUGUAUUUAAAAAAAAAUUUUAGGAUCAUGAAGUGCAAAGAGAAGGAUACUUCUUCAUUAGCUAUUCAAUAUGGCUACAGAUUAGAAAGAAAAUCACCUAUUAGAAACUUGCUUUCCAUAAAUAAAAAGCCUUGUAUACAGAAAUCAAGCUCUGCAGAAAUCUUGAUUACAGAAAAAUAUGUUAAUAAGUACUACAAAAAGUAAGUUCAAGGAAAGUGUGAAUCUAAUGCUUUUACAUCACCAUGUUCAUUUAGGAAUUUUCAAAAUUAGUAAAUUAACUAUCUCAUUUACAUUGCACCAAGAUCAGAGCUGCCACCACAGUUUGCUACUUGGCAUGCAAGCAUUAUCCACAUUUUCUACUCAUAAAAACCAGAUAAAUGUCAUUAUUUGCCUAAUGUCACAUAGCAGGAAAUGGGAAUCAAAUCCUGUUGUAUGGCCACUUGACAUUCAAAGCCCUUCACAACCUGCUUCCUAAUAUUUCUCUCUUCUCCCAUCACCCCCACCUCUCCAGUCAAACAACUUGAGUCCUCCAACUCAUUUUACGUUUAUUUGCUGUUGCCUUCCCGUCAAUACAUUUGGAGCUCCAUUUCUGAACCAAGUUACAGCUUCUCCUCUAUUCAUUACAGCUCAUCUUAAAACCCAGUCCUUCAGGACUAUCAUGGGCCAGCACAGAAGAUGUCCCUGUGUGUGACCAGUUCCCAAUCCCUCCUUACCCAUAUCCACCGACUUUUCAGCCCCUCAGACCUGGUGCAGGUGGGUUUUCAGCCCACAGUGGCGACAAUAUUGCUCUUUCUUCAUUGAGUUAAAUAUUUCUCUUCUUACUACAGUGCAGAAAAGGAUUCAGUCAAACUAAGUUAAUGUAACCAGCAUAUUUUUAACCAUCUUUACACUGCUAUUAAUUUAUGCAACUUUUAAAUCCUUGCAUUACUUAUAUAUCCUACCUAAUUUACCAACCCAUUCAGGCUGGAAGUGCAUCUUUUCAAAGAGCUUUAAAAUUUCCAGCAUGUUAGGUGGUAACAUAAAAUAAAUAAGCACUAUAUAGUUCACUAUAGAUAUUUGAAAAAAAUGCAGUAUUUCUAUAUAAAAAGCAGUCUGCAUCAGAUUUAAGAUGGAUUUAUUUUCUAAUAAACACAGGUGAAAGAAAAAUCCCUAAAACAUAUCUCUGAACAUUUCACAGUAACCCAGGAUAAGUUAGUACUGGAAAAAAAAAACUAUGCUGAACAUGAGCAAUGCAUGAUAAAGUAAAUAAUCAUCAAAAAUUAUGAAACUUGUUAUACUGUAGAAGAAGAAGUAAGGAAUGUAUUUGCAGCCAAGUGUGUCUGUGUUGGUGCAUUUACAUGAUUAUAUACCACAGCCAAAAAUUUUUUGAGCUUAGAAACAAACUGGAAUUUAACUCCAUCUUUUCAGUUUAAAGUUAGUGAUUGCUUAUUGCUUAUUAUAUUUUCAUUGCUUAUUUCAAACUAAGAAUUUAUUUACAAACAAGAUUACUUUUUUUAAAAAUGUCAAUAUAACUGACUUUUCAAAAAUAUAAUUUAAUGCCAAGUCAUAAGAUACUCCAUUACUGUAGAGCCAAAAUGCACUUCAAGAGAAGGUAGACAGUGCUAUCCUCCUACAGAGCUCCUGUUACUGUGGUUUUCUUAGUUUUAAAAUCUUUGCAUUAGAAUGUAUUUACCUUCUAUGUGAUAUGUUUUAGGAGUAAAAAAGGCACCACUAAAGAUUAUAAACCUUAGGACUACAAAGUACUCUUAAGACAGAGGAUUUGGAAACUAUUCUAUUUGAAGUUAAGAUGCAGACCUGAAGUUUGAAAAAAUUCAUGGAGAUAUUUUGGAAAGUUUGGAUGGGAGCUCAUACUCCUCUACAUUUCUCUCAUACAGCCUUUGCUCACACUUUGGUGCUUCUACAGUUGAAGGAAUUUAGCCAGUUUGUCAAAGGUUCCUGGAGUACCACUCAUCUCCUCCUGAUGCAGACACGUAAAAUAGGUCAGAUCAGACAUGUCCCAUAGUACCUCUUCCCCUUCAGUGACCAUAAAUGGGACAGAGGGACUGACUCAGCUGCAGAGAUCUGAUGUAAGAUGAAUCCCACACCACAGAACUAACAAUCCAGCAAGUUUUCUCAAAAGAAAAAACUUGAAAUGUUUCUUAUCAAAAGCAAUUUUAGAAAAAAUAAAAACAACAGACUUUUAAAUAUCUAAUCUAACAGUCUUACUUCUGAGAGAGUACUAAAUUGCUAGAGUUGAAAAGGAAUUUGGAGCAUGUUGAUAUUUCUCAUGAGGUUUGUCAAUAGGUGUAGCUUCCAGCCUGUCUGGGAUUAGAAAAUAAUUGAAAAA
rnacentral:lncRNA from 1 species